UUUCUGGUGAUCCAGUGGUUAGGAGUCUGCACUGCCACUGCAAGGAUGUGGGUUCAAUCCCUAGUCCAGAACU
rnacentral:tRNA from 1 species